rnacentral:rRNA from 1 species
UACGUAGGGGGCAAGCGUUGUCCGGAAUCAUUGGGCGUAAAGAGCGUGUAGGCGGCUUGGUAAGUCCGCUGUGAAAGUCCAGGGCUCAACCCUGGAAAGCCGGUGGAAACUGUCAAGCUUGAGUCCGGAAGAGGCGAGUGGAAUUCCUGGUGUAGAGGUGAAAUUCGUAGAUAUCGGGAGGAACACCAGUGGCGAAGGCGGCCACCUGGACGGAUACUGACGCUGAGACGCGAAAGCGUGGGGAGCAAACAGG